rnacentral:rRNA from 1 species
CCUACGGGAGGCAGCAGUGAGGAAUAUUGGUCAAUGGGCGGAAGCCUGAACCAGCCAUGCCGCGUGCAGGAUGACGGCCCUACGGGUUGUAAACUGCUUUUAUACGGGAAUAACGCGCCUUACGUGUAGGGCUUUGCAUGUACCGUACGAAUAAGGAUCGGCUAAUUCCGUGCCAGCAGCCGCGGUAAUACGGAAGGUUCGGGCGUUAUCCGGAUUUAUUGGGUUUAAAGGGUGUGUAGGCCGUAUGUCAAGGGAGCGGUGAAAUGUCCGGGCUCAACCCGGGCCUUGCAGCGCAGACUGGUGUGCUAGAGACCACUGGAGGUAGGCGGAAU